rnacentral:rRNA from 1 species
UUCAGAGAUGAGAAUGUGCCUUCGGGAACCGUGAGACAGGUGCUGCAUGGCUGUCGUCAGCUCGUGUUGUGAAAUGUUGGGUUAAGUCCCGCAACGAGCGCAACCCUUAUCCUUUGUUGCCAGCGGUCCGGCCGGGAACUCAAAGGAGACUGCCAGUGAUAAACUGGAGGAAGGUGGGGAUGACGUCAAGUCAUCAUGGCCCUUACGACCAGGGCUACACACGUGCUACAAUGGCGCAUACAAAGAGAAGCGACCUCGCGAGAGCAAGCGGACCUCAUAAAGUGCGUCGUAGUCCGGAUUGGAGUCUGCAACUCGACUCCAUGAAGUCGGAAUCGCUAGUAAUCGUGGAUCAGAAUGCCACGGUGAAUACGUUCCCGGGCCUUGUACACACCGCCCGUCACACCAUGGGAGUGGGUUGCAAAAGAAGUAGGUAGCUUAACCUUCGGGAGGGCGCUUACCACUUUGUGAUUCAUGACUGGGGUGAAGUCGUAACAAGGUAACCG